CCUACGGGAGGCAGCAGUGGGGAAUAUUGCACAAUGGGCGAAACCCUGAUGCAGCGACGCCGCGUGAGUGAAGAAGGAUUUCGGAUUGUAAAGCUCUAUUAGCAGGGAAGAAAAUGUGGGUACCUGACUGAGAAGCCCAGGCCAACUACGUGCCAGCAGUCGCGGUAAUACGUCGGUGGCAAGCGUUAUACGGAUUUACUGGGUGUAACGGGAGCGUAGGCGGUUAUUCAAGUCAGAAGUGAAAGCAUGUGGCUCAACCCUGGGAGUGCUGUUGAAACUGUGUAACUUGAGUGCAGGAGAGGAAAGCGGAAUGCCUGGUGUAGCGGUGAAAUGCGUAGAUAUCAGGAGGAACACCAGUUGCGAAGGCGGCUUACUGGACUGUAACUGACGCUGAGGCACGAAAGCGUGGGGAGCAAACAGGAUUAGAUACCCUAGUAGUC
rnacentral:rRNA from 1 species